rnacentral:tRNA from 1 species
UAAGAAGAACCGGCUCUUUUAGUAGGAGUUUAAUUGCAUCUCUAAACGGCUGAAGUAGCCCUUUAAAUCCUA